AGCUAGCAACUAAAUGCUGGAAUGCUGUUGCAGAAAAGCUCCACAACUUUGGUGGAAAAUAGCCAAAAGCAUCAGCCUCUGCCUCAGUUUCACGUCCUAAAUCUUGAGUGGUAUAUGUAAUUGGUGGAACUUAAUUUGCAUCCAGACCUCUGGAUGCAAGGGAAUCUCGGGAAGUAGUCUUUGGCUGUCCAGGAAGACAAAUAAAACAGAAGAAAAUCAAUUUAUUAAUAUGCAAGAAGAACUAGAUCUGCUACGUGACUCAGGGUAGCUGGAAAAGGACAUUCUCCCCAUGUAGCCAGGAAGCAUCUGAGCCUGGGCUGAUGGCUAGGAAACUACUCCUCUCUUUGGAAGAUGGAACCAGAAAAGGAAACCGCCCUACACCUGUAGCUGACCUUUGCAAUAGGAAGCUUCAACUCUAAACCUAGGCCUGUGGGAGCUGCCCCAGUUCCAGGCUCACAAGGCAAAUGGCUACAUCCUUGCUGCCUCAGGCCUCCUCAAAAUACAUCUUCCAGGAACCGAGAAUCCAUCCUGCUCCACAAGGAAACAUGUGAGCGUCAGCCAGACACCUUCUCUUCUAUCAUCUCCCACAGUCCUUCCAUGUCUAAUUCCUGAAACCCCAGAUGUCUUCUUCAGGAGCCCAAAAUAAAGUCUCAACUGUUUCAUGGUCAAA